rnacentral:misc_RNA from 1 species
AAAUGCGAUAAGUAGUGUGAAUUGCAGAAUUCAGUGAAUCAUCGAAUCUUUGAACGCACAUUGCGCCCUUUGGUAUUCCUUAGGGCAUGCCUGUUCGAGCGUCAUCUAAACCUUCAAGCCCUGCUUGGUGUUGGGUGCCUGUCCCGCCUCCGUGCGCGGACUCGCCCCAAAUUCAUUGGCAGCGGCCCUUGCCUCCUCUCGCGCAGCACAUUGCGCUUCUCGAGGUGCGCGGCCCGCGUCCACGAAGCAACAUUACCGUCUUUGACCUCGGAUCAGGUAGGGAUACCCGCUGAACUUAAGC